rnacentral:rRNA from 1 species
UACGUAGGGUGCAAGCGUUGUCCGGAAUUAUUGGGCGUAAAGAGCUCGUAGGCGGCUUGUCGCGUCGGCUGUGAAAACCUGGGGCUCAACCCCGGGCCUGCAGCCGAUACGGGCAAGCCAGAAUUCGGUAGGGGAGACUGGAAUUCCUGGUGUAGCGGUGAAAUGCGCAGAUAUCAGGAGGAACACCCAUGGCGAAGGCAGCUAACUGGGCAUUAUCUGACGCUGAGGCGCGAAAGCGUGGGUAGCAAACAGG